rnacentral:rRNA from 1 species
CGCUAGCGGCAGGCUUAAUACAUGCAAGUCGUGGGGCACGCAGGUUUGUAGCAAUACAGAUGCUGGCGACCGGCAAACGGGUGCGGAACACGUACAGAACCUUCCUUUGAGCGGGGAAUAGCCCAGAGAAAUUUGGAUUAAUACCCAUAGUAUAAUGAAGUGGCAUCACUUUAUUAUUAAAGAUUUAUCACUCGAAGAUGGCUGUGCGGCUGAUUAGGUAGUUGGCGGGGUAAAGGCCCACCAAGCCUGCGAUCAGUAACUGGUGUGAGAGCACGACCAGUCACACGGGCACUGAGACACGGGCCCGACUCCUACGGGAGGCAGCAGUAAGGAAUAUUGGUCAAUGGAGGCAACUCUGAACCAGCCAUGCCGCGUGGAGGAUGAAGGUCCUCUGGAUUGUAAACUUCUUUUAUAUGGGACGAAAAAAGGCUUUUCUAAGUCGUCUGACGGUACCAUAUGAAUAAGCACCGGCUAACUCCGUG